rnacentral:rRNA from 1 species
AGAGUUUGAUCCUGGCUCAGGACGAACGCUGGCGGCACGCUUAACACAUGCAAGUCGAACGAGAGAAGAGAAGCUUGCUUUUCUGAUCUAGUGGCGGACGGGUGAGUAACACGUGAGCAAUCUGCCUUUCAGAGGGGGAUACCGAUUGGAAACGAUCGUUAAUACCGCAUAACAUAAUUGAACCGCAUGAUUUGAUUAUCAAAGAUUUAUCGCUGAAAGAUGAGCUCGCGUCUGAUUAGCUAGUUGGUAAGGUAACGGCUUACCAAGGCGACGAUCAGUAGCCGGACUGAGAGGUUGAUCGGCCACAUUGGGACUGAGACACGGCCCAGACUCCUACGGGAGGCAGCAGUGGGGAAUAUUGCACAAUGGAGGAAACUCUGAUGCAGCGAUGCCGCGUGAGGGAAGAAGGUUUUAGGAUUGUAAACCUCUGUCUUCAGGGACGAAAAAAGACGGUACCUGAGGAGGAAGCUCCGGCUAACUACGUGCCAGCAGCCGCGGUAAUACGUAGGGAGCGAGCGUUGUCCGGAAUUACUGGGUGUAAAGGGAGCGUAGGCGGGAUCGCAAGUCAGAUGUGAAAACUAUGGGCUUAACCCAUAAACUGCAUUUGAAACUGUGGUUCUUGAGUGAAGUAGAGGUAAGCGGAAUUCCUAGUGUAGCGGUGAAAUGCGUAGAUAUUAGGAGGAACACCAGUGGCGAAGGCGGCUUACUGGACGGUAACUGACGUUGAGGCUCGAAAGCGUGGGGAGCAAACAGGAUUAGAUACCCUGGUAGUCCACGCCGUAAACG